rnacentral:rRNA from 1 species
UUGACCUCGAAUCAGGUAGGAAUACCCGCUGAACUUAAGCAUAUCAAUAAGCGGAGGAAAAGAAACCAACAGGGAUUGCCCCAGUAACGGCGAGUGAAGCGGCAACAGCUCAAAUUUGAAAUCCGGCCCCCCGGGGCCCGAGUUGUAAUUUGCAGAGGAUGCUUUUGGCGAGGCGCCUUCCGAGUUCCCUGGAACGGGACGCCAUAGAGGGUGAGAGCCCCGUCUGGUCGGACGCCGAGCCUCUGUAAAGCUCCUUCGACGAGUCGAGUAGUUUGGGAAUGCUGCUCUAAAUGGGAGGUAUAUGUCUUCUAAAGCUAAAUACCGGCCAGAGACCGAUAGCGCACAAGUAGAGUGAUCGAAAGAUGAAAAGCACUUUGAAAAGAGGGUUAAACAGUACGUGAAAUUGUUGAAAGGGAAGCGCUUGUGACCAGACUUGGGCCCGGCGGAUCACCCAGCGUUCUCGCUGGUGCACUCCGGCGGGCCCAGGCCAGCAUCAGCUCGUCCCGGGGGACAAAGGCGGGGGGAACGUGGCUCCUCCGGGAGUGUUAUAGCCCACCGCGCAAUGCCCUGGGGCGGGCUGAGGACCGCGCGUAUGCAUGGAUGCUGGCGUAAUGGUCACCAGCGACCCGUCUUGAAACACGGACCAA